rnacentral:rRNA from 1 species
AACGAACGCUGGCGGCAUGCCUAACACAUGCAAGUCGAACGAAGGCUUCGGCCUUAGUGGCGCACGCGUGCGUAACGCGUGGGAAUCUGCCCUUAGGUUCGGAAUAACAGUUAGAAAUGACUGCUAAUACCGGAUGAUGACGUAAGUCCAAAGAUUUAUCGCCUGAGGAUGAGCCCGCGUAGGAUUAGCUAGUUGGUGUGGUAAAGGCGCACCAAGGCGACGAUCCUUAGCUGGUCUGAGAGGAUGAUCAGCCACACUGGGACUGAGACACGGCCCAGACUCCUACGGGAGGCAGCAGUGGGGAAUAUUGGACAAUGGGCGCAAGCCUGAUCCAGCAAUGCCGCGUGAGUGAUGAAGGCCUUAGGGUUGUAAAGCUCUUUUACCCGUGAUGAUAAUGACAGUAGCGGGAGAAUAAGCCCCGGCUAACUCCGUG